rnacentral:rRNA from 1 species
CACGGGUGCGGCGCUACCAUGCGAGUCGAACGAUGAUGCCCAGCUUGCUGGGCGGAUUAGUGGCGAACGGGUGAGUAAUACGUGAGUAACCUGCCCUUGACUCUGGGAUAAGCCUGGGAAACUGGGUCUAAUACUGGAUACUACCUCUUGCCGCAUGGUGGGUGGUGGAAAGGGUUUUACUGGUUUUGGAUGGGCUCACGGCCUAUCAGCUUGUUGGUGGGGUAAUGGCUCACCAAGGCGACGACGGGUAGCCGGCCUGAGAGGGUGACCGGCCACACUGGGACUGAGACACGGCCCACACUCCUACGGGAGGCAGCAGUGGGGAAUAUUGCACAAUGGGCGGAAGCCUGAUGCAGCGACGCCGCGUGAGGGAUGACGGCCUUCGGGUUGUAAACCUCUUUCAGUAGGGAAGAAGCGAGAGUGACGGUACCUGCAGAAGAAGCGCCGGCUAACUACGUGCCAGCAGCCGCGGUAAUACGUAGGGCGCAAGCGUUGUCCGGAAUUAUUGGGCGUAAAGAGCUCGUAGGCGGUUUGUCGCGUCUGCUGUGAAAGCCCGGGGCUCAACCCCGGGUCUGCAGUGGGUACGGGCAGACUAGAGUGCAGUAGGGGAGACUGGAAUUCCUGGUGUAGCGGUGAAAUGCGCAGAUAUCAGGAGGAACACCGAUGGCGAAGGCAGGUCUCUGGGCUGUUACUGACGCUGAGGAGCGAAAGCAUGGGGAGCGAACAGGAUUAGAUACCCUGGUAGUCCAUGCCGUAAACGUUGGGCACUAGGUGUGGGGGACAUUCCACGUUUUCCGCGCCGUAGCUAACGCAUUAAGUGCCCCGCCUGGGGAGUACGGCCGCAAGGCUAAAACUCAAAGGAAUUGACGGGGGCCCGCACAAGCGGCGGAGCAUGCGGAUUAAUUCGAUGCAACGCGAAGAACCUUACCAAGGCUUGACAUUCACCGGACCGCCCCAGAGAUGGGGUUUCCCUUCGGGGCUGGUGGACAGGUGGUGCAUGGUUGUCGUCAGCUCGUGUCGUGAGAUGUUGGGUUAAGUCCCGCAACGAGCGCAACCCUCGUUCUAUGUUGCCAGCACGUGAUGGUGGGGACUCAUAGGAGACUGCCGGGGUCAACUCGGAGGAAGGUGGGGAUGACGUCAAAUCAUCAUGCCCCUUAUGUCUUGGGCUUCACGCAUGCUACAAUGGCCGGUACAAAGGGUUGCGAUACUGUGAGGUGGAGCUAAUCCCAAAAAGCCGGUCUCAGUUCGGAUUGAGGUCUGCAACUCGACCUCAUGAAGUCGGAGUCGCUAGUAAUCGCAGAUCAGCAACGCUGCGGUGAAUACGUUCCCGGGCCUUGUACACACCGCCCGUCAAGUCACGAAAGUUGGUAACACCCGAAGCCGGUGGCCUAACCCCUUGUGGGAGGAGCCGUCGAAUGAUUAAUUAGCUUC